GACGAACGCUGGCGGCGUGCUUAACACAUGCAAGUCGAACGGAAAGGCCCUGCUUUUGUGGGGUGCUCGAGUGGCGAACGGGUGAGUAACACGUGAGUAACCUGCCCUUGACUUUGGGAUAACUUCAGGAAACUGGGGCUAAUACCGGAUAGGAGCUCCUGCUGCAUGGUGGGGGUUGGAAAGUUUCGGCGGUUGGGGAUGGACUCGCGGCUUAUCAGCUUGUUGGUGGGGUAGUGGCUUACCAAGGCUUUGACGGGUAGCCGGCCUGAGAGGGUGACCGGCAACAUUGGGACUGAGAUAAGGCCCAGACUCCUACGGGAGGCAGCAGUGGGGAAUAUUGCACAAUGGGAGGAAGCCUGAUGCAGCAACGCCGCGUGCGGGAUGACGGCCUUCGGGUUGUAAACCGCUUUCGCCUGUGACGAAGCGUGAGUGACGGUAAUGGGUAAAGAAGCACCGGCUAACUACGUG
rnacentral:rRNA from 1 species